GACGAACGCUGGCGGCGUGCUUAACACAUGCAAGUCGAACGAAGAGCGACGGAAGCUUGCUUCUAUCAAUCUUAGUGGCGAACGGGUGAGUAACGCGUAAUCAACCUGCCCUUCAGAGGGGGACAACAGUUGGAAACGACUGCUAAUACCGCAUACGAUCUAACCUCGGCAUCGAGGAUAGAUGAAAGGUGGCCUCUACAUGUAAGCUAUCACUGAAGGUGGGGAUUGCGUCUGAUUAGCUAGUUGGAGGGGUAACGGCCCACCAAGGCGAUGAUCAGUAGCCGGUCUGAGAGGAUGAACGGCCACAUUGGGACUGAGACACGGCCCAGACUCCGACGGGAGGAAGCAGUGGGGAAUCUUCCGCAAUGGACGAGAGUCUGACGGAGCAACGCCGCGGGAGUGAUGACGGCCUUCGGGUUGUAAAGCUCUGUUAAUCGGGACGAAAGGCCUUCUUGCGAAUAGUGAGAAGGAUUGACGGUACCGGAAUAGAAAGCCACGGCUAACUACGUG
rnacentral:rRNA from 1 species